rnacentral:rRNA from 1 species
GACGAACGCUGGCGGCGUGCUUAACACAUGCAAGUCGAACGGAAAGACCCUGCUUUUGUUGGGUGCUCGAUUGGCGAACAGGGGUGUAAAACGUGAGUAUCCUGCACUUGACUGUCUGAGAACUUCAGGAAACUGGGGCUAAUACCGGAGAUGAUAUCCUGCUGCAUGGUGGUCGUUGGAAAGUGUCGGCGGUUGGGGAUGUACUCGCGGCUUAUGAGCUUGUUGGGUUAGUAGUUGCUUACCAAGGCUUUGACGGGUAGCCGGCCUGAGAGGGUUGACGGCGACCUUGGGACUGAGAUAGGGAGCAGACUCCUACGGGCGGCAGUAGUGGAGAAUCUUGCACAAUGAGCCGAAGUCUAUUGCAGAAACGCCGCGAGCGUGAUGCCGGCUUUCGGGUUGUAAACCAAUUUCGAAUGUGCCGAAGACUUCGUGACGGUACUGGGUCAAGAAGCACCGGCUAACUACGUG